GACAAUUCUACGAAAAUGUAAACAAAACAAAAUUCAGUAUCAAUAAUGCAAAUGAAGAUAAAAAAGAAACCAAGGAUAACGUUGCAACAAGAAAAAUGAAGCCCCGAGUAGGAAGCCAGCAACGUCGACAUAUUUAUUCUGGAGUGAAUAGGUACAAAUUGAAGUUAAAAUUACACUUCUCUACAAGACUUUGUUCCUGGCAAUCAAAUCGCUCUAUUCUGAUGGCUUAUAUCCUCAUUUGUAACCCUGUAGGAAUGAGAAAGGCCGAUUACAGCGAAGGGAUCAAUGUCGCAGAAGACUGAAAGCUUCGCUUAUCUAUACAAGUCGAGAACUCGAGAGUUGCUAUAAAGUUGAGGAUUCUCUUUACUUGGUGGGCAUUCAUAGCCAAGCCAAAUACAAGUUGAAUCAAUUGCAGCGUGUGUAGCACAUUCACGUAAUGUUACAAUGCAAAGCACUUCUUGCAGCCAGCUACGGAUAAGCGAAAGAUCGCAGUGUAUGCAAGUCCUUCCUCAUCAUGUGAACAAUAGUUAAUUUAAUCUACAGUCAGUUUUUCAAGACAGUACCUACCACCGAGGAUUCGCCAUUUGAUCUGUUUCUAUGUUAUUUUAGCAGAAAUUCACAUUUGAAUAUCUUCUUUUUACAUUUUUUUUGCAACUCUGUGAUGUAUUUGGUGAGGAUGUGUUUAUAAAUAAUAAAAUAAGAACUAUCUUAAUUUUCUCCUUUUCUAAUUUAAGUCCAAUCUAUCAAUUUAGGCUCUUGAGAUAUUAUUCUGUUUGUAAUUAGAAAACUAUUAUAUACAUACAUAAAAGGCUUUUCGAAGCUAUCAAUUUUAUAAAAUAGUUUUUUUUUCAAAAAAAAUGUUUUAUGAUUAUCAAAAUCUAUAAUAUAUGCCUUCAAUAUUUUCUUCCUUUACAAUAUUUUACUAUUUCCUAUAACGAAUUUGUAGUCUUAAGAUUAUUAUAUCAAAUUCAUGCAAUAUAUUGAAAAAAUACAAAAAUAAAUAAUAUACCUAAUAUAAAGUAAAAUCGGAGUUGGGUUUCGUAAUCAGCAUCAAAAAUUAAACGAAGUUAUUAUUAUUUAUAACCACACAAAAAUUACAAUCUAGUUUUUUUCAAAACUUCAGGUAAAGUCAAAUAGAGUCUUAUGAGUCUUUCAUAAAUAAUAAGAAAUUACGAAAACUAAGUGAAAUAGCAAAAUGAUUUGAACUGGAGCUAAGAGCAGAGAUAUUAUGUACUUUGCAAAACAAUCUUGCAAUUUAAAGUUAAGAGAUACGUCAUGCUUUUCGCAUGAGGUUUGAAGUCAGGAUAUCUUAAUCCUCUCAAAAAAAAAAAACGAUUGACUAAUGCUAUUGACCACAUGAAAUCACAAAGAAUUACAUACGAACGUGAUGGACCAAAACAUAGGAAUAGUAUUAAAAAUACCAAGUUUUUAAUUUUGUUAGAUUAAACAUAUGUCUGAAUAAAAAAAAUAAAAUCUACUUA